GCCUCUGUGGCGCAAUUGGCUAGCGCGUUCGGCUGUUCACCGGAAGGCUGGUGGUUCGAUCCCGCCCAGGGGCG
rnacentral:tRNA from 1 species